rnacentral:rRNA from 1 species
AUUCCAGCUCCAAUAGCGUAUAUUAAAGUUGUUGCAGUUAAAAAGCUCGUAGUUGGAUUCCUGGCACGGGGUAGCCGGUCCGCCUUGCAAAAGGUGCGCACUGAGCGGCCUCGGCCAUCCUUGCGAUGGUCUAUCCUGGCAUUCAGUUGUCGGGGUUGGGAUUCGCGACGUUUACUGCGAAAAAAUCAGAGUAUUCAACGCAGGCUUACGCCUUGAAUACAUUAGCAUGGAAUAAUGAGAUAGGACCUUGGCGGUCUAUUUUGUUGGUUUGCACGCCGAGGUAAUGAUUAAAAGGGACGGUUGGGGUUCUUCGUAUUCAAUUGUCAGAGGUGAAAUUCUUGGAUUUAUGGAAGACGAACUGCUGCGAAAGCAUCGAACAAGGACGUUCUCAUCG